rnacentral:rRNA from 1 species
AUGGGUGCCGAUAGCAAUCUCUGCGUCCUGCAUGCCGACGUUGUCACGCCAUCCGACGUCGACCUCCCACCGCACUCCCUCCCGCUCACCUUCUUUGACGUCAAAUGGCUGCGAGGGCCGCCCGUCCAGCGACUCUUCCUCUACCGUCUCCAGGACCACCACCACCACGGCAAUGUCCAGCAGCUCCUCUCCGACCUCAGGGCAUCCCUCUCCAAGGCGCUCAACCUCUUCUACCCGCUCGCCGGCCAUGUCCGUCUCGCCCCCGACACCAACCGCUACGAGCUCUUCUACCAGCCGGGCGAUGGCGUCUCCUUCACCGUCGCCGAGUAUGACGCCGACGUCGGUGACCUCGCCAGCGACGGCCCCGUGCAGGUCGCCAUGCUCGCGCCUCUCGUGCCGUCGCUUCCAAAGGGCCGCGCCGUGCUCGCCCUGCAGGCCACAGUGCUGCUCGGUGGGCGGGGCGUCGCGCUCGGCGUAACUAUGCACCACACCGCCGGUGACGACGCCAGCUCCACCCACCUCCUGCACACCUGGGCCGCCCUCUGCAACGGUGCCGUCGAAAUGCCGCCGCCACCCGUGUUGGACCACACGCUCGUCGCUGACCCCAGGGGCCUCUACGACAUCUACUGCCAAGGAAUGCCCAGCGGCGGCAACGAGAUGGAAUUCGUGACCAGCAGCGUGUCCUCCGUCCCCGACGACCAGCUCGUCGCCACCUUCACGCUACCUCAAGAGGUCCUAACUGCCAUCAAGGAAGCGCUCGCCGGAGAGGCGACGAGGCACGGUGCGCCGCCGCGCAGAUGCUCGUCGACGCUCGCGGCCUACACCUUCAUCUGGUCCUGCUACUACCGAGCCAAAAAGGAUCAGGAACAAGGUCAUGCAAAAACUACCCACUUCCUCUUCUCUGUGGAUCACCGGGCACGGUUGAAGCCGCCCCUCCCUGCCACAUACUUUGGCAACUGCAGCAUCCCGGCCAUCGCCGUCACGCGCCAUGACGAGCUCACGGCGGCCGGCACGGGGGGCCUCUUCGCGGCAUUCACGGCAAUCGCGAACGCGCUCGAGGAAGUGGUGAGCGAGGGGUACCCGGAGAGGUGGGACGGAUGCGGCAAGAGGGUGAUGGAGGCCGCAAAGGCCGGCAUGAUGUUCGUGGUGGGGUCGCCGAGGUUCCGCGUGUAUGACGUCGACUUCGGGUUCGGGAGGCCGGCAAAGGUGGUGGCGGUGUCUGGGGCGAUGCCUGGCGCGAUGCCGGUGGCAGAUGCGCGCAACGGCGAUGGUGGCGUCGAGGUGGGGCUAACGUUUUCGGCGGGCGGCAUGGAGCAUUUCCAGCGGUGCUUUUCUGAUGCCAUGCAUGCGAUCGGCAUGUAA